UCUUCGUUGGUGAACCAGCGGAGGGAUCAUUA
rnacentral:rRNA from 1 species